GAUGAACGCUAGCGGCAGGCUUAAUACAUGCAAGUCGUGGGGCAGCAUGAGUAGCAAUACUUGAUGGCGACCGGCAAACGGGUGAGGAACACGUACACAACCUUCCUUCAAGCGGGGAAUAGCCCAGAGAAAUUUGGAUUAAUACCCCAUAAUAUAUUUGAUAAGGCAUCUUAUUAAUAUUAAAGCUUCGGCACUUGAUGAUGGGUGUGCGGCUGAUUAGAUAGUUGGCGGGGUAACGGCCCACCAAGUCUACGAUCAGUAGCUGAUGUGAGAGCAUGAUCAGCCACACGGGCACUGAGACACGGGCCCGACUCCUACGGGAGGCAGCAGUAAGGAAUAUUGGACAAUGGACGAAAGUCCGAUCCAGCCAUGCCGCGUGAAGGAUUAAGGUCCUCUGGAUUGUAAACUUCUUUUAUAUGGGACGAAAAAGGGCAUUCUUGUUCACUUGACGGUACCAUAU
rnacentral:rRNA from 1 species